CUUCCCAUUUAUUUGCUGGUAUAAUGAUACAAUGAUAUGAGCAGUUAUACUCUUUGGAAAAAAUAAUAUUGGGCCAUUGUAAAUUGACAUGAAGUAAGUAUUUUCAUAUCAUCUGCAAUGGACUAGAUGUUG
ensembl:snoRNA